GCCCGCCUAGCUCAAUCGGAUAGAGCGUCAGACUCUUACAAAUCCAGUAUCAUGUUGCGUAAAGCAUCUGAAGGCUGCGAGUUCGACCCUCGCGGUGGGCU